ACUGCUCAGUAACACGUGGACAACCUGCCCUUAGGUUGGGUAUAAACCCGGGAAACUGGGUAUAAUACCCGAUAGGUCUCGAUUGCUGGAAUGCAUCGAGAUUUAAAGCUCCGGCGCCUAAGGAUGGGUCUGCGGCCUAUCAGGUAGUAGUGGGUGUAGCGUACCUACUAGCCUACGACGGGUACGGGUUGUGAGAGCAAGGGCCCGGAGAUGGAUUCUGAGACACGAAUCCAGGCCCUACGGGGUGCAGCAGGCGCGAAAACUUUACAAUGCUGGCAACAGCGAUAAGGGAACCUCGAGUGCCAGGUUACAAAUCUGGCUGUCGAGAUGCCUAAAAAGCAUUUCAUAGCAAGGGCCGGGCAAGACCGGUGCCAGCCGCCGCGGUAACACCGGCGGCUCGAGUGGUAACCGUUAUUAUUGGGUCUAAAGGGUCUGUAGCCGGCCGGAUAAGUCUCUUGAGAAAUCUGGCAGCUUAACUGUCAGGCUUUCAGGAGAUACUGUCUGGCUCGAGGCCGGGAGAGGUGAGAGGUACUUCAGGGGUAGGGGUGAAAUCUUGUAAUCCUUGAAGGACCACCAGUGGCGAAGGCGUCUCACCAGAACGGACCUGACGGCAAGGGACGAAAGCUAGGGGCACGAACCGGAUUAGAUACCCGGGUAGUCCUAGCCGUAAACGAUACUCGCUAGGUGUCGGCCACGGUGCGACCGUUGUCGGUGCCGUAGGGAAGCCGUGAAGCGAGCCACCUGGGAAGUACGGCCGCAAGGCUGAAACUUAAAGGAAUUGGCGGGGGAGCAC
rnacentral:rRNA from 1 species